CGGCCGCAGUACUCUGACUGUGCAAAGGUAGCAUAAUCAAUUGGCUUUUAUUGGAGUCUAGUAUGAAUGGAUUUACGUAAAAGUUCUGUCUCAAUAAAAUUUUUUCUAAAUUUUUUAAAAGGUGAAAAAACCUUUAAUAUCUAAAAGACGAGAAGACCCUAAGAAUUUUAAAAAAAUUAAAUCAUCUUUUUUGCUGGGGCGGCAAUGGAUCAUGAAACAUCCAUAUUAUCGAGUCUUCGUGUUAUAAAUUACCUUAGGGAUAACAGCACAAUUGUGACCUCGAUGUUGGACUACGAA
rnacentral:rRNA from 1 species